UACGAAGGGGGCAAGCGUUGUUCGGAUUUACUGGGCGUAAAGGGCGCGUAGGCGGAUAUGUAAGUCAGAGGUGAAAGCCCUGGGCUCAACCCGGGAACUGCCCUUGAAACUACAUGUCUUGAGUACGGGAGAGGGUGGCGGAAUACCCAGUGUAGAGGUGAAAUUCGUAGAUAUUGGGUAGAACACCAGUGGCGAAGGCGGCCACCUGGCCCGUAACUGACGCUGAGGCGCGAAAGCGUGGGGAGCAAACAGG
rnacentral:rRNA from 1 species